rnacentral:lncRNA from 1 species
AAGGAUAUACAAACCAUCACACACUCCUUCCCAAGGAUGACACCAGAGAUUGUCUUCUUCAUCCCACAAACCCAUACACACAUGUAUCUAUACAUGCUUGAACAUGGACACAUACAUGCAUGCAUGCAUUUUUACAAUUUUUGUAAAUUGACAUGGUAGCACAGCUCGAGAGGCAAGUAAAUUCUCAAGUUCAAAGCCAGUCUGGACUCUGUAGACAUUAGCAGUUCCAGGACAGCCAGUACUAUAAAGUGAGACCCUGUCUUAAGGGGGGAAAAUCUUUCUAAACAUGUAUUUGUAAAGCUGUUAAUUGAUUGCUUUUUGUUGUGAAUCAAAUGCUGAGGAUUUGCUUGCCUUCCUGCAUACUAAGUAUAAAUGAUCUACUGUGGAGCUACCCCAGUCCCUGCAAACUUUUGUUUUAUUUUUUGGGUUGGUGUGGGAGUUUGAGACACUUUCUCUGUGUAGAUUUGGCUGUCCUGGAACUCACUCUAUAGAGGAGGUUGGCCUUAAACUUGUGGCCUCUGGCUCAUGAGUGCUGGGAUUAAAGGCAUAUGCCACCACCACCUGGCUAUAUUCUUAAACUUUUUAAUGUAACUUUUAUUUACUGAAACAACUUGGAAGUUUAAGUCCAUGUGGAUUACCUGAAUUUUAAUCCUGAAACAUUUGUUAAAAUUUCUUUAUUUUUAUUUUACUUAUUUUUACUGUGUUUUGUUCGUAUAUACAUAAACACAAGGCCUAGGGUGAGAUUAGAGUCAGGGCGCUGCAGGAAUUGUUCCUCCACUGUGCCCCUUACAGAUGGAACUUGUCAGGCCGGUGACACAAGUGCUUUAUCUACUUGAGUCUUUUUGGGUUUUUGGUCCUACU